AAAGAGAUGAAAUUGUUGCAAUGACCGGAGAUGGUGUGAACGAUGCACCUGCCCUCAAAAAGGCCGACAUUGGAAUUGCCAUGGGCAUAACUGGAACCGAGGUUGCUAAAGAAGCUUCCGAUAUGGUUUUGGCAGAUGACAACUUUAGCACCAUUGUUUCAGUCGCAGAGGGUCGUUCGAUUUAUAGCAAAAUGAAAGCUUUCAUAAGGUACAUGAUAUCACCAAAUGUUGGAGAAGUAAUAUCUAUAU